rnacentral:snRNA from 1 species
AGCUUUGCACAGUGGCAGUAUCAUAACCAAUGAAGUGAAUCUGAGGUGUGAUUAUUGCUACUUGAAAAUCCGCUCCUCUCUCCCUUCUCCUGGUGGUAGAUGGUACAGUACUACUGUAGACAGCAGAAACUG